rnacentral:lncRNA from 1 species
CUUUGCUUCCAGAUCAUUUAAAUCUGCUUGUUAUUCCAAUAAUUAUGUUUCAAGAUAGGAGGUCAACAGGCUACUGAGUUCAGAUGCUCUAUUAAGCAAAAGUAGCUGGAAUUAAUGAUGCUUUAUUCAGGAAAAGUGAAGGCAAACAGAUUGUGGUGCCCUCUGGUGUAAACACCCUCUGAGCCAGUGCUGAGACUAGACCUCUAUGAAGCCAAAUAUUCCAGGGCAUCAGGCACUGUAGUCCCAGCUGGUCCCUGGGCAUGGCCAAAGGCAUUGUCCCACUGUGGCCACAGCUUGGGGCUGCCCACUGCAAGAACAUUCUCCAGGCUAGCAAUGCCAUGUUAACCCUACAGUCAUCAUCUUCUGCAUCCUGUUCUGCCUCAUGAAAAGACUGCCAAAUUGCUCUUGCCUGGUGAUCACGCAGAUGAAAAGGUCUAUCAAGAGACCAGAGCGAGUGAGGGUAUGAUUGUCUUCUGCUACAGAGAGAGCUCUUUGCAAAGGAUAUUUAAUGUCUAGUUCACUGGCAUCACAAGCGCCAACUUCCAACACUGAGGAAAGGGAGGAGAUAUGAAAUAUUGCUCCUUCAUCUCCCUCUGUCAACCUGCCCAGCACUGUGAGGAAAAUACCACCAAAAUACCCUAGUGCUACAAAAAUCCUGCAAAGGAUGCAGAAGAUGGCCUUGGUUAGUAAAUGUGGAGAUGGCUGUAGAGAGCAUACUGAGCAUCCCUCUUUGGAGCCCAGGUCACAAUCAAAGUUUUCUUCCCUAAGGAAUGGAAGUGCCUAAGGAGAGAGCCUCACAGAAAACCGCACUAACACUGAAAGCAGUAAGGCGUAGGAGGGAGAUCAGCAGUUGGAUCUGCAAAGCAGUUCUCCUAUGGAGUCUGGACAUCACCCACAUUCUGAGCCAGCACCUGCUUCUAGAGAACCAAGUGCAAAGUCUGGGAAUCAACGUUAAUUAUGGAUUAUUGAGAAGAAGAUGUUUUCUGGUUGUGUCAUGCAUACCCUUUAAACACUGCUUCAGAGUUCCGGCUCAAAAUUAAGUUCACAAAUAUAAAGCAAGACCUUGACCUAAAUUUUCACUACGGAUGUUGAAGAUGUCACAUGUUUUGCCUAUUAGUACAGAAUUAGAGAAAACACGUCAUUUAAAAUUAAGUAGUCAA